AUGGCGCCGCCUCGGGUUCAACCUCCAGAUCCAAUUUCCUAUCCAAACUCGUCGUAUUUCGUCCAUCCCAACGACGGUCCCGGCUCAGUCACGGUUUCUCCAAAACUUACCGGCUCCAACUACCAUUCUUGGGCGUGUUCUAUGAAGAGAGCUCUCGGUGGCAAGUUAAAUCUUGAAUUCAUUAAUGGAAGUCUUCCUCCUCCGAUUGACGCAUUCAAUCCUUCGUUUCGAGCCUGA